rnacentral:rRNA from 1 species
GACGAACGUUGGCGGCGUGCUUAACACAUGCAAGUCGAACGGAAAGGCCCUGCUUUUGUGGGGUGCUCGAGUGGCGAACGGGUGAGUAACACGUGAGUAACCUGCCCUUGACUUUGGGAUAACUUCAGGAAACUGGGGCUAAUACCGGAUAGGAGCUCCUGCUGCAUGGUGGGGGUUGGAAAGUUUCGGCGGUUGGGGAUGGACUCGCGGCUUAUCAGCUUGUUGGUGGGGUAGUGGCUUACCAAGGCUUUGACGGGUAGCCGGCCUGAGAGGGUGACCGGCCACAUUGGGACUGAGAUACGGCCCAGACUCCUACGGGAGGCAGCAGUGGGGAAUAUUGCACAAUGGGCGGAAGCCUGAUGCAGCAACGCCGCGUGCGGGAUGACGGCCUUCGGGUUGUAAACCGCUUUCGCCUGUGACGAAGCGUGAGUGACGGUAAUGGGUAAAGAAGCACCGGCUAACUACGUGCCAGCAGCCGCGGUGAUACGUAGGGUGCGAGCGUUGUCCGGAUUUAUUGGGCGUAAAGGGCUCGUAGGUGGUUGAUCGCGUCGGAAGUGUAAUCUUGGGGCUUAACCCUGAGCGUGCUUUCGAUACGGGUUGACUUGAGGAAGGUAGGGGAGAAUGGAAUUUCUGGUGGAGCGGUGGAAUGCGCAGAUAUCAGGAGGAACACCAGUGGCGAAGGCGGUUCUCUGGGCCUUUCCUGACGCUGAGGAGCGAAAGCGUGGGGAGCGAACAGGCUUAGAUACCCUGGUAGUCCACGCUGUAAACGGUGGGUACUAGGUGUGGGGUCCAUUCCACGGGUUCCGUGCCGUAGCUAACGCUUUAAGUACCCCGCCUGGGGAGUACGGCCGCAAGGCUAAAACUCAAAGGAAUUGACGGGGCCCCGCACAAGCGGCGGAGCAUGCGGAUUAAUUCGAUGCAACGCGUAGAACCUUACCUGGGUUUGACAUGGAUCGGGAGUGCUCAGAGAUGGGUGUGCCUCUUUUGGGGUCGGUUCACAGGUGGUGCAUGCCUGUCGUCAGCUCGUGUCGUGAGAUGUUGGGUUAAGUCCCGCAACGAGCGCAACCCUUGUUCACUGUUGCCAGCACGUUAUGGUGGGGACUCAGUGGAGACCGCCGGGGUCAACUCGGAGGAAGGUGGGGAUGACGUCAAGUCAUCAUGCCCCUUAUGUCCAGGGCUUCACGCAUGCUACAAUGGCUGGUACAGAGAGUGGCGAGCCUGUGAGGGUGAGCGAAUCUCGGAAAGCCGGUCUCAGUUCGGAUUGGGGUCUGCAACUCGACCUCAUGAAGUCGGAGUCGCUAGUAAUCGCAAAGCAGCAACGCUGCGGUGAAUACGUUCCCGGGGC